rnacentral:rRNA from 1 species
AACGCGAAGAACCUUACCAAGGCUUGACAUCUGAGGAAGUUUCCAGAAAUGGAAAUGUGCCCGCAAGGGAACCUCAAGACAGGUGGUGCAUGGCUGUCGUCAGCUCGUGUCGUGAGAUGUUGGGUUAAGUCCCGCAACGAGCGCAACCCUUGUUGUUAGUUGCCAUCAGGUAAAGCUGGGCACUCUAGCGAGACUGCCGGUGACAAACCGGAGGAAGGUGGGGACGAGGUCAAGUCAUCAUGCCCUUUAUGCCUUGGGCUACACACGUGUUACAAUGGCUAGGACAAUGUGAUGCAAAACCGCGAGGUGGAGCGAAUCACCAAACCUAGUCUCAGUUCGGAUCGCAGGCUGCAACUUGCCUGCGUGAAGUCGGAAUCGCUAGUAAAUGCCGAUCAGCACGCGGCAUUGAAUACGUUCCCGGGCCUUGUA